UCUGGGCCAUAGCAUGGUUUCUUGUAGUGAGGAUGCAUACUACUCCAAUAAAAGUAUACUUGGCUACAGGCCUAGGGCACGCAGGCACAACCCUAAACCCCUUCUUCUCUCAGCAUGCAUAGCACCCUCAGUACCUCACGAAGGGCGGAACCUUUUCUCUCUCAGCACUCUCUCCAUCUCUCACCAAAGACCACCUGCCACCAUCACCACUCACAAGCCUCAGAGUCACCUUGGCCCGCGCCAAAAAGCUCCUCUUUUGACUACUUCUCAGUGCUCCUCUGUUUCAAUGCUUCUGUCACCUUCACGGCCACAGUGAUGCACUGUUUCUUGGUGACAGCAACCUCAGUGACAACGACAUCAUUAGUGGCCACAAAGUGCGAUGGCACUUCUCUGUUCUAUUUUCCCAAUGUUGUUGCCCCCCGGCCGUCGUUUUCUUCUCUUCCACCAUCAGUCCUCGCAAAGGUUAGCCUCGUCACAACUAGAAGCCCCAGCGAAGCUUAGUUAGCCACCAGUUGUGCUCAACUUUCCCUUUUUCUGUUCUCAAGCUUAGAUAAAGAAGAAUGGGACGAGGAGAUAUUAAGAAUCAAAACACCAAAAUACCAUUACCAAAAUCGUUCCUAACCUUAUUUUCGACUUAAAAUUGUCCCCAACAAUUCAUUUGGUAUUAAAAUCAUCCUUUCUAAUAAAAUAUUUUUUUUAAAUGACGAACAUACCUUUUUGUUUUUUUGGUUUCGUGCGAAACACUUCAUAUGUUCAUUUGUCUCUAAACCCUUAAAACAUUAACCACAACAUUUUAGAAACCAAUAUGAGUGCUUCAUGCCCUAACCCAGAAUAAAAAACGAUGGAGGUUGUUCUUAGAGAGAAGAAAGCAGGCGAGUUACAUUUGUUUGAAGGAAGGGUCUUGAAUAGUUAGUGAGACAGUAAUUGCAGAGUUAGGGUAGGGUGUUGGAGAAGAGGAUGGAAUAUUUUAAACUGAAACUCUAUUAUGGAGGAUGGUUUAGUCAUGAUAAAAGGCCAUUACAGUAUAUGGGAGGAUAAACAACAGUUAUAGAAGAUAUUCUUGAAGCUUCGCAGAGUUAAAACAGUUUGGUUACCUUGAGGAGAAUAUCUCAGCAUUGUGGUUUAAGGAUCCUAUACAUGAAGACAUGGAGGAUAAUCUAAAGUUAUUUCAAGGUGAUGCAGAUUCAAUUGCCAUGUAUAAAAUAGCUGAAUUAAGAGAACAUGUAGAGUUGUUUGUUGUGCACAAGGUUGAGGAGGAGGAUGUGUUUCCUAAUGCUGGCUACAUUAAUGUUAGGGGGAUCAAGGGGUUGGUGAUAAAGGUGAGGGACAAGAGGUGGUGGUGUAUGCUGGAGAACAGGCUGAGGAUGGUCAGCAGCUGUAUCAGAAAGGUAACAAUGUAGUUGAUAUAGUCGAUAGACCUAAAUGAGGCGAGGCAAAAGUAAAUUGAACCAAGUGCUGAUGUUACUGGGGCAGAGUUUAGCGAUAGUGAUAAGGAUGAGCAUCACAAAGCUGAGUUUGCUAAUGUUAGUGGAUGUGAUAGUGAUAGUUUUAAUUCAGAGUAUAAACCAUCUGAAGAGGAAGAUCACAGUGCAGAUGAUUUGAACUUCACCGACAUUGAAGAUGAGCUUGAUCCUGAUAUUUGUGGGUUUGAGGAUGUGAAUGUCAUGAUUGAUAAAUAUAGGGCAGCGAAGAAGAAAGGUGUAACAACUGAGGAUUUUGAAGAUGAUGAAGGAGCAGAUGGUGAUAAAUUAGAAUUAGACCAUAAGGUUGGAGUUGGGGCUGAUGAGGAUGGUGGAAAUGAGGGGUCAGACUCAGACUAUGAGGGAGUGAGGUAUCCAGUUCACAGGGCACAAACAGACAUGAAGCAAUACAAGUGGUAAGUUGGGACAUUGUAUGCAUCUCGAGAGGAAUUCAAGAAAAUUGUCACUACAUAUGGUGUGCAGACCGCAAGAGCCAUUACAUUCAGAAAGUGUGAUCUUAAGAGGGUAAGGACAGUUCGUUCUUAUGACUGUCCUUUUUGACUAUAUGCUGCCAAAAUAGGAGAAGAGGAUACUUGGCAACUUAGAAGCAUAAAUUUAAAGCACUCAUGUACACAAGCACACAGAGUGGGAAUUUUACACUCCAAAUAGCUUGGCAAGGCAUUUAAGGAGGUUAAAACAAAUUCCAAAUUGAAGAUAAAGGAGUUAAUUUCCAAGGCUCAGAAAAAGUGGAAUUUGACUGUCACUAAAUCAAUGGCUUCUAGGACAAAGCAGAUUGCAUUGGAUGAAAUUCAGAGAAUAUUCAGAGAGCAAUAUAAGAGGAUAUAUGACUAUAGUCAUGAGCUUUUGAGGGCAAAUCCAGGCUCCUUUGUCCAUAUACAAGUGCUUAUUGCAAUAGGAAGGGACCCAAAUGACCAAAUGCUAUCAACUGCAUAUGUGGUUGUAGAGGCCGAGACCAAAGAUUCAUGGACUUGGUUCUUGAAUCAUCUUGUAUCUGAUAUUGGAAUUGAGAAGAUGGAAAGAUCCACAUUCAUGUUUGACCAACAAAAAGGUUUAUUGAGAGCAUUUCAGGAUGUGAUACCAAGUGUUGACAAUCAAUUCUGUGUGAGACACUUAUAUAGCAACUUCAGGAAAAAGUUUCCAUGUUUGCAUUUGAAACAAAUGAUGUGAAAAAGUAUGUUAAGGCGACUCACUGAAAAGAAUGGAAGAAGUAUAUGGCAAACCUCAAAGUUGUGAAUCAGGAAGUUUUUCACCACUUAACUACUAUUGCACCUAGAUAUUAGUCUAGAUCUAGGUUCACCUUUCAUUCUAAAGUAAAUACACUAGUUAACAUGUCUGAGAGUUUUAAUUCUGCUAUAAUAGAUACUAGAGAGAAACCUAUAAUUACAAUGUUGGAGGAGAUUAGAGUUAAGUUAAUGACUAGGUGGGCACAAAAUAGAGAGCUGGUUCAGAACUAUUCAGGGACUAUCUUACCUAGGAUUAGAUUGAGAUUAGAGAGAAGGUCCAGGUUAGCUGGAGAGUGGCGGCCAUAUUGGUAUGUAGCUAAAAAAUAUGAGGUUAAUGAUUUAGAAAAGUUUGUUGUGGACAUAAGUACUCAUGAGUGUUCAUGUAAUAGGUGGCAGAGUUGCAUCAAGUUCAAGAGACUUGACUUGGAAGCUUUUGUGGCCGACUGCUACAAGAAAGAAGCAUACUUAAAGUGCUAAAAGUUAGUCAUACACCCAUUGAAUGGACAUGAUCUCUGGGAGAGGACAGAUUAUAGUGAUGUUAUACCACCACCUUAUAGAAGGCCUAGUCACCAACCAAUGAAAAAGAGAAGAAUAGCUACUAGGGACGAAAAACAGAGCAGUCACACCCACUUGUCAAGGAAAAAUACACAUUCACAGCCUACUACUAAAAUUGGAGUCAAGAGAAAAUUUUUUCAGCAAUACAGCCUAACUCUUCAGCCAAGUCUAACUCUGCAUCACAGCCCAAAAGGCCCAAAGGAACAAUUAAGCCCAACUCUUCAGCUCAAAAAGUACCACAGCCCAAAAAGUCAACAUCAUAGCCGAAUAAGUCAGCAUCUUCUUCAUCCUCACAACCCAAGAAAAUGGCUCCUUCAUCAUCACAGUCAAACACCACAUCCCUUCCAGCAUCUCAGCCAACCCCUACCACAUCCUCAACACAACCACCAAACCAACAUAAACAUGCAGUGAAACAGAGUUCAAGCCAACCAGUUGGAUGAUUCUCUAUGAGGAAUUCUAAAGCACCUCAUGUUUCUCCACAGAAAUUGAGGUUGAUGGAAAAUUUGACUCUAAGAAAAUGGGAAUUACUUUAGGAAAUUUGAAAAAUAAGGGCAUAUUUUGAUAUUUAGAUAAAAUGCUUGUGGUCUUAUUUUGGGUUAAGUUAGUAUUAAAUUUUACUAAUGUCAUGUAGGUGUUGUUAGCUUUAUUUUAUUCUGGACUAUUUGCAUGUUGGUGAUAUUUUGGUUAUAAGUUACUCAAUGUUGUUCUGCCCUAUUGGCUUGGACCAUUAACCCUAUUGGGAUUUAGUUGGUUGUGAAAAACUAUGUUCACUUGGUAUGUUAUUCUUAUAUUUACUAUGUUGAUGUUA